rnacentral:rRNA from 1 species
UACGGGGGGAGCAAGCGUUGUUCGGAUUUACUGGGCGUAAAGGGCGCGUAGGCGGCCUUCUAAGUCAGACGUGAAAUCCCCCGGCUUAACCUGGGAACUGCGUCUGAUACUGGGAGGCUUGAGUAUGGGAGAGGGAUGUAGAAUUCCAGGUGUAGCGGUGAAAUGCGUAGAUAUCUGGAGGAAUACCGGUGGCGAAGGCGGCAUCCUGGACCAUAACUGACGCUGAGGCGCGAAAGCUAGGGGAGCAAACGGGG